UGUUUCGGCUUGUGGGCCUUCCCGUCUUACCAACCCGAUUCAUACUGCGAAUACCGGAGAAUGUUAUCACGGGUGACACACGGCGGGUGCUAUCGUCCGUCGUGAAGAGGGAAACAACCCAGACCGCCAGCUAAGGUCCCAAAGUCAUGGUUAAGUGGGAAACGAUGUGGGAAGGCCCAGACAGCCAGGAUGUUGGCUUAGAAGCAGCCAUCAUUUAAAGAAAGCGUAAUAGCUCACUGGUCGAGUCGGCCUGCGCGGAAGAUGUAACGGGGCUAAACCAUGCACCGAAGCUGCGGCAGCGACACUGUGUGUUGUUGGGUAGGGGAGCGUUCUGUAAGCCUGCGAAGGUGUCCCGUGAGGGAUGCUGGAGGUAUCAGAAGUGCGAAUGCUGACAUAAGUAACGAUAAAGCGGGUGAAAAGCCCGCUCGCCGGAAGACCAAGGGUUCCUGUCCUACGUUUAUCGGGGCAGGGUGAG
rnacentral:rRNA from 1 species